rnacentral:lncRNA from 1 species
AAAUCCUCACACUCACCGUAAAAAAGCAACAAGAGGAGGAAUCUCUUCCUAAAGCACUUCAUGCCAGCAAAAAAAGUGUGUCGCAACACCUGUUCCUACUCCUACCUCUUCUUUUCCAGAUGCAUGGGUUUGUUCUGUGAGAAAGGGCCAAUCAGUAAAAUGUCCUAUUUCUAAAUCCUUAGAUUUUCAUCCUCCCUCUCC